rnacentral:rRNA from 1 species
AGCGAACGCUGGCGGCAGGCCUAACACAUGCAAGUCGAACGAACCUUUCGGGGUUAGUGGCGGACGGGUGAGUAACACGUGGGAACGUGCCUUUAGGUUCGGAAUAACUCAGGGAAACUUGUGCUAAUACCGAAUGUGCUCUUCGGGGGAAAGAUUUAUCGCCUUUAGAGCGGCCCGCGUCUGAUUAGCUAGUUGGUUGAGGUAAUGGCUCUCCAAGGCGACGAUCAGUAGCUGGUCUGAGAGGAUGAUCAGCCACAUUGGGACUGAGACACGGCCCAAACUCCUACGGGAGGCAGCAGUGGGGAAUCUUGCGCAAUGGGCGAAAGCCUGACGCAGCCAUGCCGCGUGAAUGAUGAAGGUCUUAGGAUUGUAAAAUUCUUUCAACGGGGACGAUAAUGACGGUACCCGGAGAAGAAGCCCCGGCUAACUUCGUG